UUUUGUGAUUUUGAAUCAAAGGUUUAUUUUUGAAUUUGAUUUUUUCUGAUUGUCAUGGUUUCCCUAACUGCUAUCUGAAUCCUCAGUGAUUUGGCUACUCUUACAAAAUAGACAACAUUUCUUCAUCAAUUUUAGCUCCCAAAAUGUUUUUAAACCUUUGAGCAUUGUCAUAAAUAGGGUUAGAAUGUUCAUGUACACAUGACAUAUCUCAUAAUGCACUCCUGAGCCUCUUCUGCCUCCACACUCAUAUUCUCUGUGUGUGUGAUAGCGUAGCUAGCGUUGGCGAAGAGGGGCUUAGCACAAGGUGCAGUGUAUCUGUUCCAUGUUUCUUUAAAGGGGAUCUCCUAGUGACAGUUCUCGCUCUGCCGUGCCCACUGCGCUGGUAUCCCACUCUCACACACACUCUCACACACACUCUCACACACACUCUCACACACACUCUCACACACACUCUCACACACACUCUCACACACACUUUCACCCCUCUUCGCUGCUCCUCUCCUUUCUGGAUUCGUGUAGGAGCUGUAGUCUGGGGAGGAAACAUGGGGCAUCUAUCGAGCAGGAACAAAGUAUGUCUCAUGGUAUGUCUCACGUUGGCACCUGCGCCCAAUCUCAACCGCUGCAGCUACAUCUCACAUCUCUCUCUCUUGCUCUCUCUCUCUCUAUCCCCCUCUUUCUCUCUCUUGCUGUCUCUCUCUCUCUAUCCCCCUCUUUCUCUCUCUUGCUGUCUCUCUCUCUCUCUCGCUCUCUCUCUCAUUCAGUCUCCCUCUACCAAGAAGAGGCUAUAUUUUUGGGGUCUAAAAACUAUAGCUAUAUGCAAACCCAUGUCAAAGCCCCCCGCCCUUAGAAGAAAGCGCCAUGCCUUCAUCGCUAUGUUCCCUCUGUUUUCCCACCCCUUCAUUCCAACGCUCUUUAGUUCUGCACUUGGCUGCUUCAAUCAUUUUUAUAGAAUGAUCUUUUUCUCCACCCUCUCCUUUUCUUUAGCAUGUCCAAUGAAAGUUCCCCCCUGUACCCCACCGCCUCUGCCUCUGCCUCUGCCUCUGCCUCUGUCUCAGCCCUCUCCUUCGGAGCUGACAGAUAGACAAACACACUGUUCUCUGUUUCUUUGCCUUUCACCUCUCAAGCCUCCCUCCCUCCAUCCAUCCUGCCGGCCCGGCACAAUGCAUCCGCUUUAUCCUGCGGCCUGGAGAAUGCAGCCCUGAACUAACAAUAUCACCAAGGCUGUCUGAAUGCCAGGGAGCCCCAUUGUGUCCUAGCAGAGGGGAGUUAACACCCAUGUCUGAGCCCAAUGAAUAGUAUUAUUGUGUCUGAGACAUGCACCUCUCCCUCGGUCACCCCGAUCUCCCCCUCUUUGAACCCCUUACACACACCCUCUUCUUGUCCCAACAGCCCAGUCCCCCCUCUGUCCCCCUAUCUCACCCCUCAGUGGACAACUCCCAAUUUCCAAAUACUUACAGACACUCCGGAGGUGUAUUUCUUUAUUUUCUCCAUGUGGAAAUAACCCUGUGGAUUUUAUAGAUUUUUUUGUAACAGUGGAAGAGGAGAGAGGAAGAGAGAGGAGGAGAGAGGAGGAGUGGAGGAGAGAGGAGGACAGAGGGAGAGAGAGGAGGACAGAGGAGGAGUGGAGGUGAGAGGAGGAGAAAUGAAGAGAGAGGAGGAGAGAGGAGGAGAGAGGAAGAGAGAGGACGAGAGAGGACGAGAGAGGACGAGUGGAGGAGAGGGGAAGAGAGAGGAGGAGAGAGGAGAAGAGAGGAGAAGAGAGGAGAAGAGAGGAGGAGAGAGGAGGAGAGAGGAUGAGAAAGGAGUAGAGAGAAGAAGAGAGAGGAGGAGACAUGAAGGGAGAGGAGGAUAGAGGAAGAGAGAGAAGGAGAGAGGAGGAGUGGAGGAGAGAGGAGGAGAGAGGAAGAGUGAGGGGGAGAGUAGAGGAAAGAGGAGGAAGGAGAGGGAGGAGAGGAGGAGAGAGGAGGAGAGGGAAGAGAGAGGAGGAGAGAGGAGGAGAGGAGGAGGAGUGGAGGAGAGAGGAAAAGAGAGGAGAGAGGAAAAGAGAGGAGGAGAGAGGAGGAGAACGGAAGAGAGAGGAGGCAAGAGGAGGAGUGAGGAGGAGAGAGAGAAGGAUAGAGGAGGAGAGAGGAAGAGAAAGCAGGAGAGGGGAGGAGAAAGAAAGAGAGGAGGAGAGAGGAGGAGAGGAGGAGAGAGGAGGAGAGAGGAGGAAAGAGGAGUAGAGAGUAGGAGAAAGAAAGAGAGAGGAGGAGAUAGGAGGAGAGAAGAAGAGACAGGAAGAGAGAGGAUGAGAGAGGAGGAAAAAGGAGGAGGAGAGGAGAAAGGAGGAAAGAGGAGGAAACAGGAGGAGAGAGAAGGAGAACGGAAGAGACGGGGAGAGAGGAGGAGAGAAGAGGAGAGAGGAGGAGUAAGGAGGAGAGAGGACGAGAGAGGAGGAGAGGGGAGUAGAAAGGAAGAGAGAGGAGGAGAGAGGAGAAAGGAGGAAGAGAGAGGAGAAAAGAGGAUGAGAGAGGAGGAGAGGAGGAGAGAGGAGAAGAAAGGAGGAGAAAGGAGGAGAAAGGAAGAGAGAGGAGGAGA
ensembl:lncRNA